rnacentral:rRNA from 1 species
GUGACUAUAUGUUUAACGGCCGCGGUAUUUUGACCGUGCGAAGGUAGCGCAAUCACUUGUCUUUUAAAUGGAGACCUGUAUGAAUGGCACGACGAGGGCUUAACUGUCUCCUUCCCCAAGUCAAUGAAAUUGAUCUCUCCGUGCAGAAGCGGGGAUAGACCCAUAAGACGAGAAGACCCUAUGGAGCUUUAGACACUAAAACAGCCCAUGUUAAAAACCCUCACAAAAGAGACUAAACUAGAUGGUCCCUGUCCUAAUGUCUUUGGUUGGGGCGACCACGGGGUAACAAAAAACCCCCGCGCGGAACAGAAACACUGUUUCCAGAACCAAGAGCGCCCGCUCUAAGUAACAAGACCCACUUGACCUUUGAGAUCCGGCAUUAGCCGAUCAACGGACCGAGUUACCCUAGGGAUAACAGCGCAAUCUUCUUCGAGAGUUCAUAUCGACGAGAAGGUUUACGACCUCGAUGUUGGAUCAGGACAUCCUAAUGGUGCAGCCGCUAUUAAGGGUUCGUUUGUUCAACGAUUAAAGUC